GCUUCUUUCCCAAGAUUCUCCUGGCUGUUAUAGUUAGCUGUUGUGGCGAAGUUUACAGGAAGAUUACCUACUGGCUAAAUGAUUCAGAAAAUGAUCGUUAACAGAGUGCCUACGAGAAACAUCUCAUCAUUAAAAUUGUUUUAUUCCAGUUUGUAAACUCCUACCUGAGUCUUUUCUACAUUGGUUUCUACCUCAAGGACCUGGAGCGACUGAAGGAGGUGGGUGGU